UUGUCGCACGAAACGCUUUCAGAGCCUAGAGACAGCUAGACGUGACUGAAACAGAUCACAGUGACGAGGAAAAAGUACCACAAGAGGGAAGGGUUGUGCCAAAUUAAUUCUCCAAGGCUGUAAUUCGAUGACAGGUGAUUGCGAAGGCCAGACAGAAGGAAUUGUUAGCAAGCAUGGAAAAUAAUGAUCUAUGCAAAAACCACAGACAAUCAUGAAGGUCAUGCAUACUAUCACACUAAGCAGAUUCUGCCACAAUGUGAAGGUUGACAUUGGAUCCCAUCUUCACUCUUAUGGGGGUGCGCAAUGACAGGUGUCUAUGGCAGAAGUGACACGUGCAGCCUGGCAGGGUCACAGCUCAUGACAUUCUUGGCUGAUGAGGCAGGCCAGGGGUUGGCACGGUGGCAGGCCACAGCAUUGAUGACAGUGAAGUGCUGUCAGUCUGGAUAACAGUCAGCAGUCAGGGCUGCUGACUGCUGACAGAUGGUAUCUGGUGGCUACUUUGGUAACACUUUUCAAUGGCUUCAAAUGAUCAUUGUUGUGUUAUUUUACAUAGCACAAUUCAUGCACAAUGAAACUAAUGCUAAAUGAUAAAAAGCUCAACAGAAAUGAUUGCAGCACUGCUUUAAAUUCCAAUAAAGCAUAGCUAUCUGUAUUUAAAUAAUCCCAUCAAAAAGUAAACUGAGGAUAUGAU